CCGGUAUGAGUAGCGAAAGAUAGGUGAGAAUCCUAUCCGCCGAAAGACUAAGGUUUCCUGGGGCAGGCUCGUCCGCCCAGGGUAAGUCGGGACCUAAGGUAAGGCCGAGAGGCGUAGCCGAUGGACAACAGGUAGAGAUUCCUGUACUGAAAUUGUUCGAUAUGAGCAAAGGAGGGACGCAGGAGGCUAAUGACGCAUGUUGCUGGAAAUACAUGUGCAAGCAGUAAGAAGAAAGAUGAGUCAAAUGCUUGUCUAAAGAAAUCAAGCUGUGAUGCGGAGCGAAAUUAAAGUAGCGAAGGUCAUGAUGUCACACUGCCAAGAAAAGCUUCUAGCCAGAGCAAUUUUACCCGUACCGCAAACCGACACAGGUAGUCGAGUGGAGAACACUCAGGUGAGCGAGAGAACUCUCGUUAAGGAACUCGGCAAAAUGACCCCGUAACUUCGGGAGAAGGGGUGCUGAUGGUAAAAGAUCAGCCGCAGUGAAUAGGCCCAAACAACUGUUUAUCAAAAACACAGGUAUCUGCAAAAUCGUAAGAUGACGUAUAGGUGCUGACACCUGCCCGGUGCUGGAAGGUUAAGAGGAGAGCUUAGCGCAAGCGAAGGUUUGAAUUGAAGCCCCAGUAAACGGCGGCCGUAACUAUAACGGUCCUAAGGUAGCGAAAUUCCUUGUCGGGUAAGUUCCGACCUGCACGAAGGCAAUGUUGGGAUACUACCCUUGUUUGAUGGAUCCUCUAACUCGCAGAGCUGAGCGUUCUGGAGGACAGUGUCAGGUGGGCAGUUUGACUGGGGCGGUCGCCUCCUAAAAUGUAACGGAGGCGCCCAAAGGUUCCCUCAGAAUGGUUGGAAAUCAUUCGCAGAGUGUAAAGGUAUAAGGGAGCUUGACUGCGAGAGGUACACCUCGAGCAGGGACGAAAGUCGGGCUUAGUGAUCUGGUGGUACUGCAUGGAAAGGCCAUCACUCAACGGAUAAAAGCUACCCUGGGGAUAACAGGCUUAUCUCCCCCAAGAGUUCACAUCGACGGGGAGGUUUGGCACCUCGAUGUCGGCUCAUACCGCUGGUGUACCAGUUGUCUUGCCAAAGGCAUCGCUGGGUAGCUAUGUAUGGAAGGGAUAAGCGCUGAAAGCAUCUAAGUGCGAAGCCCCCCUCAAGAUGAGAUUUCCGAUGCGUAAGCAGUAAGACACCUUAAAGACGAUGAGGUAGAUAGGCUAGGAGUGGAAGCAUAGCGAUAUGUGGAGCGGACUAGUACUAAUCAGUCGAGCACUUGACCAA
rnacentral:rRNA from 1 species